UAUUCUACAAUGUAGAAAAUAGUAAAAAUAAAUUAAAAUCCUUGAAUGAGUAGGUGUGUCCAAACUUUUGACCGGUACUGUAUGUACAUAUCUAAAAAUAUAUGUAUUUUCCUUUAUAAUUUUCGAUAACCCUGCCACCCUUCCCCUAAUUACCUUUUUUUGUACAAGCUAAAUGAGUGCUGUAUCUCUCCCAAAUCAACCUUUGUGAAUGGCUUUGUUAAUCAUUUCGAGCAAUAGUGGACCUAACUGAUUAAUAAAAAAAUAAAUUGACUUCAGGAGGAAUACUGUCCCUUCCAGUUGAUUUCCCUUUAUUCAUGUUAUCCAAUGCCCUUUAUUCAUGUUAUCCAAUGCCCUUUAUUCAUGUUAUCCAAUGCCCUUUAUUUAUGUUAUCCAAUGCCCUUUAUUCAUGUUAUCCAAUGCCCUUUAUUUAUGUUAUCCAAUGCCCUUUAUUUAUGUUAUCCAAUGCCCUUUAUUUAUGUUAUCCAGUGCCCUUUAUUUAUGUUAUCCAAUGCCCUUUAUUCAUGUUAUCCAAUGCCCUUUAUUUAUGUUAUCCAAUGCCCUUUAUUCAUGUUAUCCAGUGCCCUUUAUUCAUGUUAUCCAAUGCCCUUUAUUUAUGUUAUCCAAUGCCCUUUAUUUAUGUUAUCCAGUGCCCUUUAUUCAUGUUAUCAAAUGCCCUUUAUUUAUGCUGUCCAAUGCCCUUUAUUUAUGUAACCAAUGCCCUUUAUUCAUGCUGUCCAAUGCCCUUUAUUCAUGUUAUCCAAUGCCCUUUAUUCAUGCUGUCCAAUGCCUUUUAUUCAUGUUAUCCAAUGCCCUUUAUUCAUGCUGUCCAAUGCCUUUUAUUCAUGUUAUCCAAUGCCCUUUAUUCAUGCUGUCCAAUCCCCUUUAUUCAUGUUGUCCAAUGCCCUUUAUUCAUGCUAUCCAAUGCCCUUUAUUCAUGCUGUCCAAUGCCCUUUAUUCAUGUUAUCCAAUGCCCUUUAUUCAUGCUGUCCAAUGUCCUUUAUUCAUGCUAUCCAAUGCCCUUCAUUCAUGUUAUCCAAUGCCCUUUAUUCAUGUUAUCCAAUGCCCUUUAUUUAUGCUGUCCAAUGCCCUUUAUUUAUGCUGUCCAAUGCCCUUUAUUUAUGUAACCAAUGCCCUUUAUUUAUGUUAUCCAAUGCCCUUUAUUUAUGUUAUCCAAUGCCCUUUAUUCAUGCUGUCCAAUGCCCUUUAUUUAUGUUAUCCAAUGCCCUUUAUUCAUGCUGUCCAAUGCCCUUUAUUUAUGUUAUCCAGUGCCCUUUAUUCAUGCUGUCCAGUGCCCUUUAUUUAUGUUAUCCAGUGCCCUUUAUUUAUGCUGUCCAAUGCCCUUUAUUCAUGUUAUCCAAUGCCUUUUAUUCAUGCUGUCCAAUGCCCUUUAUUCAUGCUGUCCAAUGCCCUUUAUUCAUGCUGUCCAAUGCCCUUUAUUCAUGCUGUCCAAUGCCCUUUUGAGUUCAUUGAGAGAGAUUUGGGCUCCCUGUGAGGUGGCUU
ensembl:lncRNA